rnacentral:rRNA from 1 species
CAGUCGCCACGGGAAUACGUAGGGUGCGAGCGUUAAUCGGAAUUACUGGGCGUAAAGGGCACGCAGGCGGUGACUUAAGUGAGGUGUGAAAGCCCCGGGCUUAACCUGGGAAUUGCAUUUCAUACUGGGUCGCUAGAGUACUUUAGGGAGGGGUAGAAUUCCACGUGUAGCGGUGGAAUGCGUAGAGAUGUGGAGGAGUACCGAAGGCGAAGGCAGCCCCUUGGGAAUGUGCUGACGCUCAUGUGCGAAAGCGUGGGGAGCAAACAGGAUUAGAUACCCCUGUAGUCCCUGUCUCUUAUAC